rnacentral:rRNA from 1 species
GACGAACCGAGCGAACGUUGUUCGGAAUCACUGGGCUUAAAGGGCGCGUAGGCGGGUGCUCAAGUCCGUGGUGAAAUCCUCCGGCUCAACCGGAGAACUGCCAUGGAUACUGGGUGUCUCGAGGGUGAUAGGGGUAUGCGGAACUAUCGGUGGAGCGGUGAAAUGCGUAGAUAUCGAGAGGAACACCUGCGGCGAAGGCGGGUUGCUGGGCUGACACUGACGCUGAAGCGCGAAAGCUAGGGGAGCGAACAGG